ACGAACGCUGGCGGCGUGCUUAACCCCUGCCAGUCGAACGGUGAAGCGCCUUCCUUUUUGGUGGGUGUGGAUGAGUGGCGAACGGGUGAGUAACACGUGAGUAACCUGCCCCCUUCUUCUGGAUAACCGCAUGAAAGUGUGGCUAAUACGGGAUAUUCUGGGUCUGUCGCAUGAUGGGUCUGGGAAAGAUAUUGUUUCGGUGGGGGAUGGGCUCGCGGCCUAUCAGCUUGUUGGUGGGGUGAUGGCCUACCAAGGCGGUGACGGGUAGCCGGCCUGAGAGGGUGGACGGUCACACUGGGACUGAGACACGGCCCAGACUCCUACGGGAGGCAGCAGUGGGGAAUAUUGCACAAUGGGCGCAAGCCUGAUGCAGCGACGCCGCGUGAGGGAUGGAGGCCUUCGGGUUGUGAACCUCUUUCGCCAGUGAAGCAGGCCUGCCUCGUUUGUGGGUGGGUUGACGGUAGCUGGAUAAGAAGCGCCGGCUAACUACGUG
rnacentral:rRNA from 1 species